AGAGUUGAUCCUGGCUUAGGACGAACGCUGGCGGCGUGCCUAACACAUGCAAGUCGAGCGAGGAGAUCCUUCGGGAUGAUCCUAGCGGCGGACGGGUGAGUAACACGUGGGCAACCUGCCUCAUAGAGAGGAAUAGCCUUCCGAAAGGGAGAUUAAUACCUCAUAACAUUGCAGUUUCGCAUGGAACAGCAAUUAAAGGAGUAAUCCGCUAUGAGAUGGGCCCGCGGCGCAUUAGCUAGUUGGUGAGGUAACGGCUCACCAAGGCGACGAUGCGUAGCCGACCUGAGAGGGUGAUCGGCCACAUUGGGACUGAGACACGGCCCAGACUCCUACGGGAGGCAGCAGUGGGGAAUAUUGCACAAUGGGGGAAACCCUGAUGCAAGCAACGCCGCGUGAGUGAUGACGGCCUUCGGGUUGUAAAGCUCUGUCUUCAGGGACGAUAAUGACGGUACCUGAGGAGGAAGCCACGGCUAACUACGUGCCAGCCGCUGC
rnacentral:rRNA from 1 species